rnacentral:ncRNA from 2 species
UUCUUAUCAAGAGUGGUGGAGGGACUGGCCCGAUGAAACCCGGCAACCAAUAUAUAAUGUAUAUAAGGUGGUGCUAAAUCCUGCAGUGAAUGACUGAUAGAUAAGGG